rnacentral:rRNA from 1 species
CAGAGGGUGCUAAGCGUUUGUUCGGAAUUACUGGGCGUAAAGCGCGCGCAGGCGGAUCCUGCAAGUCCGAAGUGAAAUCUCACUGCUCAACGGUGAGGCUGCUUUGGAGACUGCGGAUCUGGAGACCGGUAGAGGCUGGUAGAAUUUGCAGGUGUAGCGGUGGAAUGCGUAGAGAUCUGCAAGAAUACCCGUGGCGAAGGCGGCCAGCUGGGCCGGUUCUGACGCUGAGGCGCGAAAGCGUGGGGAGCAAACCAGGAUUAGAUACCCUGGUAGUCCACGCCGUAAACGAUGGGCACUAGGUGCUGGGGGGAGCGACCCCGUCAGUGCCGCAGCUAACGCGAUAAGUGCCCCGCCUGGGGAGUACGGCCGCCAAGGCUG